GACCGCAUAGCAAAAGGAUAAGCUAAGGUGCUGUCACCACCUGAGAUUGUAGGUUCAAGUCCUACUGCGGUCGCCA
rnacentral:tRNA from 1 species